ensembl:snoRNA SNORD112 small nucleolar RNA, C/D box 112
UGGACCAAUGAUGAGAAAGUGUUUGUGAACAAAGGAUCAUGAUUAAUCCAGUUCUGCGCAAAAUACUGAGGUCCAUU